GCAUCCAUGGCUGAGUGGUUAAAGCACCCGACUCAUAAUUGGGCACUUCGCAGGUUCGAACCCUGCUGGAUGCA
rnacentral:tRNA from 1 species